rnacentral:rRNA from 1 species
GAGCAACGCCGCGUGAGGGAUGAAGGCCUCUGGGCUGUAAACCUCUUUUCUCAAGGAAGAAGACAUGACGGUACUUGAGGAAUAAGCCACGGCUAAUUCCGUGCCAGCAGCCGCGGUAAUACGGGAGUGGCAAGCGUUAUCCGGAAUUAUUGGGCGUAAAGCGUCCGCAGGCGGCCUUGUAAGUCUGUCGUUAAAGCGUGGAGCUCAACUCCAUUUCAGCGAUGGAAACUACAAGGCUUGAGUGUGGUAGGGGCAGAGGGAAUUCCCGGUGUAGCGGUGAAAUGCGUAGAUAUCGGGAAGAACACCAGUGGCGAAGGCGCUCUGCUGGGCCAUAACUGACGCUCAUGGACGAAAGCCAGGGGAGCGAAAGGGAUUAGAUACCCCUGUAGUCCUGGCCGUAAACGAUGAACACUAGGUGUCGGGGGAAUCGACCCCCUCGGUGUCGUAGCCAACGCGUUAAGUGUUCCGCCUGGGGAGUACGCACGCAAGUGUGAAACUCAAAGGAAUUGACGGGGGCCCGCACAAGCGGUGGAGUAUGUGGUUUAAUUCGAUGCAACGCGAAGAACCUUACCAGGGUUUGACAUCCUGCGAAUCCCUUGGAAACGAGGGAGUGCCUUCGGGAGCGCAGAGACAGGUGGUGCAUGGCUGUCGUCAGCUCGUGUCGUGAGAUGUUGGGUUAAGUCCCGCAACGAGCGCAACCCACGUCUUUAGUUGCCAGCAUUCAGUUGGGCACUCUAGAGAGACCGCCGGUGAUAAACCGGAGGAAGGUGUGGAUGACGUCAAGUCAUCAUGCCCCUUACAUCCUGGGCUACACACGUACUACAAUGCUACGGACAAAGGGCAGCAAGCUCGCGAGAGUAAGCAAAUCCCAUAAACCGUGGCUCAGUUCAGAUCGUAGGCUGCAACUCGCCUACGUGAAGGAGGAAUCGCUAGUAAUCGCAGGUCAGCAUACUGCGGUGAAUACGUUCCCGGGCCUUGUACACACCGCCCGUCACACCAUGGAAGUUGGCCAUGCCCGAAGUCGUUACUCCAACCCUUGUGGAGGAGGACGCCGAAGGUGGGGCUGAUGACUGGGGUGAAGUCGUAACAAGGUAGCCGUACCGGAAGGUG